CUUCCGUUGCGGGCUGGGUCUGGGGAUCAACUACAUGCAAAGCAAAUGCCGCUUGGAAUAAAGAUUGGAAGAUGUUGGGUUUGGCUUGGAGUUUCACGGGAUCACCGAUUUCAGCGCCUAAGCACGAAUCCACAGUAUCCGGCAAUCCAGCACUUUGCAUCAAGAUGGUAACGCCAGUUAUAAGAACCGUUGAUCUCCGGUCCGACACGGUGACCAAGCCAACUGAGUCAAUGCGUUCAGCUAUGGCGAACGCGGAAGUAGACGACGACGUUUUGGGGAGCGAUCCAACGGCAGUGCUUUUGGAAAGAGAGGUGGCUGAGAUCGCAGGAAAAGAAGCGGCCAUGUUUGUUCCGUCAGGGACAAUGGGGAAUCUGAUAAGCGUUUUAGUCCAUUGCGAUGAGAGAGGGAGCGAAGUGAUUCUUGGAGAUGAUUCUCACAUUCAUAUUUAUGAAAACGGUGGCGUUUCAAGCCUCGGUGGAGUGCACCCAAGAACGGUGAAGAAUGAAGAGGAUGGGACGAUGGAGAUUAGUUCUAUUGAAGCUGCUAUGAGGAGUCCCAAAGGAGAUCUCCAUUAUCCGGUUACUAAGCUUAUAUGUCUUGAGAACACUCAAGCAAAUUGUGGAGGUAAAUGCUUACCUAUAGAAUAUAUAGACAAGGUUGGAGAGUUAGCCAAGAAACAUGGAUUGAAGCUUCACAUUGAUGGAGCUCGUAUCUUCAACGCUUCUGUUGCACUCGGAGUACCAGUGAAGAGGAUUGUUCAAGCCGCUGACUCUGUAUCGAUUUGUUUGUCGAAAGGCAUAGGUGCACCUGUCGGUUCGGUAAUCGUGGGAAGCAAAAGUUUCAUCACCAAAGCAAGGUGGUUAAGGAAAACCUUGGGUGGAGGAAUGAGACAGAUAGGUGUGCUCUGUGCCGCCGCAUUGGUGGCUCUCCGUGAUAACGUCGCUAAGCUCGACGAUGACCACAAGAAAGCCAAGAUCUUGGCAGAAGGACUGAACCGGAUUGAACGGUUAAGAGUGAACGUCGCGGCAGUGGAAACCAACAUCGUAAGUGUACAAAAUGAAUGGAAAAUUAAUUCACGAUUCGGAAUAAUACCAAGACAUAUAGGUUUAUAUAUACGUAGAUCUACCAAAAGAUCCCAAGUUUGGAGCUGAAGACGCAUGUAAGAGUUUGGAAGUUCUAGGUGUGCUUGUCAUACCUCAAACUACAUUCAGAAUCAGGAUUGUUCUGCACCACCAAAUCUCAGAUAGCGACUUGGAAUAUGCGCUCUCUUGUUUUGAGAAACUGUUUAGCUCGGUGCCAGAAGAGAAGGUUUGAUUUGAAGUUAUUCACGUGUUGGACUAUGUCAUAGUACUUGAAUCUAUUUUCUUGCUUUACAAAUUGAAAUAGUUUGGUCAAGCAAUAGACAACUAUCUUUAUUAUAAUCCAAGUUAUUGAACAAUUUAUGAAGUAAACUACUUUUACCUCGUUCUCUAAUAAAUUCGAAAUGUUAAGAUU